UACAGAGGGGGCAAGCGUUGUCCGGAUUUACUGGGCGUAAAGCGCGCGCAGGCGGCGCUCUACGUCUGGGGUGAAAGCCCGGAGCUCAACUCCGGGACUGCCUUGGAUACGGGAUCGCUUGAGGAUUGGAGAGGCAAGGGGAAUUCCACGUGUAGCGGUGAAAUGCGUAGAGAUGUGGAGGAACACCGGUGGCGAAGGCGCCUUGCUGGCCAAUUACUGACGCUGAGGCGCGAAAGCGUGGGGAGCAAACAGG
rnacentral:rRNA from 1 species